AGAGUUUGAUCAUGGCUCAGGAUGAACGCUAGCGGGAGGCCUAACACAUGCAAGCCGAGCGGUAGAGAUUCUUCGGAAUCUUGAGAGCGGCGUACGGGUGCGUAACACGUGUGCAACCUGCCUUUAUCUGGGAGAUAGCCUUUCGAAAGGAAGAUUAAUAUCCCAUAAUAUAUUGAUUGGCAUCGAUUGAUAUUGAAAGCUCCGGCGGAUAAAGAUGGGCACGCGCAAGAUUAGAUAGUUGGUGAGGUAACGGCUCACCAAGUCGAUGAUCUUUAGGGGGCCUGAGAGGGUGAUCCCCCACACUGGUACUGAGACACGGACCAGACUCCUACGGGAGGCAGCAGUGAGGAAUAUUGGACAAUGGGUGGAAGCCUGAUCCAGCCAUCCCGCGUGAAGGAAUAAGGGCCUAUGGCUUGUAAACUUCUUUUGUACAGGGAUAAACCUACCCUCGUGAGGGUAGCUGAAGGUACUGUACGAAUAAGCACCGGCUAACUCCGUGCCAGCAGCCGCGGUAAUACGGAGGGUGCAAGCGUUAUCCGGAUUUAUUGGGUUUAAAGGGUCCGUAGGCGGGCUUAUAAGUCAGUGGUGAAAGCCGGCAGCUUAACUGUCGAACUGCCAUUGAUACUGUAAGUCUUGAGUAUAUUUGAGGUAGCUGGAAUAAGUAGUGUAGCGGUGAAAUGCAUAGAUAUUACUUAGAACACCAAUUGCGAAGGCAGGUUACCAAGUUAUAACUGACGCUGAUGGACGAAAGCGUGGGGAGCGAACAGGAUUAGAUACCCCGGUAGUCCAA
rnacentral:rRNA from 1 species